GGGGAGGAAAAGAAACUAACAAGGAUUUUCUUAGUAGCGGCGAGCGAAAAGAAAAUAGUUCAGCACUAAGUCACUUUGUCUUUAUGGCAAAUGUGAGAUGCAGUGUAUGGAAUGUCAAAUUUCUAGUAUGAGAAAUUAACGAUUUAAGUCCUUCUUAAAUGAGGCCAUUUACCCAAAGAGGGUGCCAGGCCCGUAUAACGUUAAUGAUUACUAGAUGGCAUUUCCAAAGAGUCGUGUUGCUUGAUAGUGCAGCACUAAGUGGGUGGUAAACUCCAUCUAAAACUAAAUAUAACCAUGAGACCGAUAGUAAACAAGUACCGUGAGGGAAAGUUGAAAAGAACUCUGAAUAGAGAGUUAAAUAGUACGUGAAACUGCUUAGAGGUUAAGCCCGAUGAACCUGAAUAUCCGUUAUGGAAAAUUCAUCAUUAUGAUUUUAAUAUUUAUAAUAUUAUAAUAAUGGUGUGCAUUUUUUCUAUAAAGGACAUUGUAAUCUAUUAACUUUACAUUAUUUAUCAUAAGAUCAUUAGAUUAUGUUUAUUCAAAUUAUUUUGCUUGCAAUUUAAUAUCGAAUAAAUUCUUUUGAUUUGAUAAAGCGUUGAUAGAUUUAUUAUAUACAGUGCUUAAAUAUUUAUAUUUUAUAAUAUCAUAUUAAUCAAUGAUUUUUAUGUUCAUUAUAUGCACUUGUAUGAUUAACAAUGCGAAAGAUUCAGGAUACCUUCGGGACCCGUCUUGAAACACGGACCAAGGAGUCUAACAUAUUUGCAAGUUAUUGGGAAUAAAAACCUAAUAGCGAAAUUAACAUAACUUUAAUGGGAUUAGUUUUUAGCCUAUUUAUAGUCUAUUAAUUCAAUCCCGGGGCGUUCUAUACAGUUAUGUAUAAUAAUAUUUAUAUUAUUUAUACCUCUAACUAGAGCGUACCUUGAGCAUAUAUGCUGUGACCCGAAAGAUGGUGAACUAUACUUGAUCAGGUUGAAGUCAGGGGAAACCCUGAUGGAAGACCGAAACAGUUCUGACGUGCAAAUCGAUUGUCAGAAUUGAGUAUAGGGGCGAAAGACCAAUCGAACCAUCUAGUAGCUGGUUCCCUCCGAAGUUUCCCUCAGGAUAGCUGGUGCAUUUAAAAAUUAUGUAAAAUAAUCUUAUCUGGUAAAGCGAAUGAUUAGAGGCCUUAGGGUCGAAACGAUCUUAACCUAUUCUCAAACUUUAAAUGGGUAAGAACCUCACCUUUCUUGGUAUGAAGGUUGUGGUUGUGAUAUAAUGUGCCCAGUGGGCCACUUUUGGUAAGCAGAACUGGCGCUGUGGGAUGAACCAAACGUAAUGUUACGGUGCCCAAAUUAACAACUCAUGCAGAUACCAUGAAAGGCGUUGGUUGCUUAAAACAGCAGGACGGUGGACAUGGAAGUCGUAAUCCGCUAAGGAGUGUGUAACAACUCACCUGCCGAAGCAACUAGCCCUUAAAAUGGAUGGCGCUUAAGUUGUAUACCUAUACAUUACCGCUAAAGUAGAUGGUUUAUAUUCAAUUUCGGUUGGAUUUUAAACUUUGAAACUUUAGUGAGUAGGAGGGUACAAUGGUGAGCAUAGAAGUGUUUGGCGUAAGCCUGCAUGGAGCUGCCAUUGGCACAGAUCUUGGUGGUAGUAGCAAAUAAUCGAAUGAGACCUUGGAGGACUGAAGUGGAGAAGGGUUUCGUGUGAACAGUGGUUGAUCACGAGUUAGUCGGUCCUAAGUUUAAGGCGAAAGCCGAAAAUUUUCAAGUUAUAAUGAAUAAGUAAAAUAUAUACAAGUAUAUAUAAGAAAAAGUAAUAAAACACUUGAAUAAUUUUGAACGAAAGGGAAUACGGUUCCAAUUCCGUAACCUGUUGAGUAUCCGUUUGUUAUUAAAUAUGGGCCUUGUGCUCAUCCUGGCAACAGGAACGACCAUAAAGAAGCCGUCGAGAGAUAUCGGAAGAGUUUUCUUUUCUGUUUUAUAGUCGUACUACCAUGGAAGUCUUUCGAAGAGAGAUAUGGUAGAUGGACUAGAAGAGCAUGACAUUUACUGUUGUGUCGAUAUUUUCUCCUCGGACCUUGAAAAUUUAUGGUGGGGUCACGCAAACUUCUCAACAGGCCGUACCAAUAUCCGCAGCUGGUCUCCAAG
rnacentral:rRNA from 1 species